rnacentral:rRNA from 1 species
AGCUAUAUAUUAAAGAGAUUUAUUUAUAUAAAUAGGUUUGCUAGCUGAUUGUGUAUAUACGCAGGCCAAUGCUUCUAAUUUCAUAGCAAGCGAGCUUGCUAUGAAAUAGGCAACCUGUAAUAUAGGCAAGUGUGUGCUAUUUAUAGCGCUAGCCUACAAACCUAUAAUUAUAUUAACUCUAAGAGAAAUUUAAUAAUAAACGAAGUGAAUUGAAAUAUCUUAGUAACUUUAGGAAAAGAAAUCAAAAGAGAUUCUAUGAUUAGCGUGAGCUAAAAUAGACUAGCCUAAAAAGUCAAAUGGUGGAUAAACUGUUUAAAUUAAAUGGGGAACCUUCCUCAAAGGCUAAAUAUAAUAUAUAAGCGAUAGUGGAAAGUACCGUGAGGGAACCAAAACAAAAACAGUGAUUUUAUAAGCAGUUCGGGAAAAUAAAAAAAAGUUAGAACGUACCUUUUGCAUAAUGGGUCACCAAGUUAACAUUAGAUGCGAGUAGAAGGGAGCUUUAUAAAAAAAAAUAUAUUUUUUUUUUUAUAGCCCCGUGCAUACGUAGUUAAACCGAGCGUUAAAAUAACGGUAAGUAUCUAAAGUUAGACCCGAAGCCUGGUGAUUUUACCAUAAUCAGGAUUAUAAAAGUCCGAACGGAAUAUUGUAGCAUAAAUAUCCGAAGAAUUAUGGUAGGUGUAGUGAAAGACAAUACUGACCAGGAUAGCUGGUUUUCUGCGAAACCUAUAACAGUAGGCAAUUUAAGUAUAAUAUCUUAGCAGGUACAGAAUUUAAUCUCAGACAAGACAUAAGGCUUAGCUUGCUAGCAAGUAAAGCUCAUGUUUUAUUUUGUACAAAUUGGGGGAUCAUGAAGAUUUUAUCAGUGAGUAUGUAGACUCGGAAUGGCAAAGAUAUAUCUUAAAUCAUCAGACAUAGAAUGAUAAGGUUGUAUGUCAAAAGGGAAACAGCCCAGAACAAGAGUUAAGGUUCCUAAAUUAUUAGUUGAGUGAAAUUAAGAAGGUUUUUAUUAAAGUCGACAAGGAGAUAGGCUUAGAAGCAGCCAUAAUUUUAUGACCUCGUAACAGAGCGCUUGUUAAGUUUUAAAAGCAUCGAAAAUUUAUCGGAUCUAAACAAUAUACCGAAACCUUGUCCAUAUUAUUUUAUAAUUAAAGCUUAAUUAUAAUUAAAUGGGGUAGCAGAACGUUGAGCUAAAUUAAGAUUUUUAUUUUUUAAAUGAAAUUAUAAUAAUUUAACUCAAGUGAUAAUGGUGACAUGAGUAACUAAAAGAAAAAAUAAAAUUUUUCCGCCUAAAGCUUAUGGAUGUAAUUAAGUAACGGCCUCUAAGUUUAUAUUAUCUAAAGAUUUAAACGAUGAGAUAAUCUUUUGUACUAAGGACGACAUUUUAAGUGAAAAAUGUACUGGAAAAAUAGUACUAAAUUAAUGGCUAUAGCUAAUUAGGGCUAUAAAAAAAUAUAUUUUUUUUAUAAAGCUCGCUAUAGCUAUAAUUGAAAAGUAACCGUACCUAGAAUCUGAAACAAGUAAGCUAGUAGAGAAUACGAAGGCGUAAAUGAGCUAACAAUCAUAAAGGAACUCGGCAAAUUGACUACCGUAACUUCGGGAUAAGGAGAGCUCAUUAUUCUUGAUUAAUAUCAGGUAAAGAGGAAGAAGCAUGAAAUAGUGUUGUACGACUGUUUAAUUAAAACACAGCACUUUGCUGAAAGAUUAAAAAUCUAAGUAUAGAGUGUGAUGUCUGCCCGGUGCCGGCUGGUUAACAGAUAUAAUUAAAUAUACUAAUAUUUGAUGUAGACGGAAACCCCGGUUAAAGGCGGCCUUAACGUGAGGGUCCUAAGGUAGCGAAAUGCCUUGGCCGUUAAAUGCGGUCUUGCAUGAAUGAUGUAACGAUACAACAGCUGUCUCUAUGAUUGACUCAGUGAAAUUGGAAUAGCUGUGCAGAUACAGUUUACCUCUAGUUAGACGAGAAGACCCUAUGCAGCUUUACUGUCACUAAUUAUAGAGUAUGAUAAACAAUUUUCAGAUUAUAAGGUAAUUGACGGCUAGCUUGUUCAGCAAGCUAGCUCUAUGACAAUGAGAAUCCUUUAUUUUUUUUUCAUAUGAAUGAAUUGGUUUAGGAUUAUGAGUAGGUAGCUGCUUCUGCUACUUGGCGCAAGCAUUGCUUGCGUCAGGUGUCUGAAGUAUGCAUUCCAGCUCAUGCAUAGUAAAUCAACCUAAUUCAGCUUAUUUUCCUUUCUGCCAUAAGCGCAUAAUGAUAGAUUUAACUUAAAUUUUGAUUUAUGCCGAGCCCCUCCGGGGCUACUGCAGAAAUAGAUAAGUACCCUUGGCUAAGGAACUAUCGCUAGGGGACAGUUUAUGUGGGGCACAGACCCUGUAAAGAGUAAACAGGAGUGUCUAAUAAUUUAUAAUUAUUUUGUUUGCGAUUUAAGAUAGUGAAACUAUUUUUAAUCAUAUAAAAUUAUUUAUAUGUACAUUCGUUGUAUAUAUAUUUAAAAAAAGGUAGGAUUUUCACUAUAUAGAAAUUAGAGAUAAUAAAAAUAUUAAGAAUAUACGUUUCAGGCAGGGGAGGGGGAAGCUCCUCCUACUGAAAGGUAGCACUAAUAUUUUUUAGCUAUUAAGACAGGCUAUCAAGCUAGGCUCUAAUAGUUAUGUAUUAAUUAUCUAAAAAGCUCAACGGCUAAAUCUUGCCUUACUGUUUGAUUAUCAACAAAUCUUACAGUUGCGUAAGCAGGGCAUAGGAUCACAAGAUGCAACAAGGAAAGAUCUUGGAUUAUUGGAAAAGCUACGCUAGGGAUAACAGGCUAAUUUGCGCAAGAGUGUACAAAAUGAGUGCGCGGUUUGGCACCUCGAUGUCGGCUUAACUUAUCCUCAUGGAUGCAGGAACUAUGUAGGGUGCGACUGUUCGUCGAUUAAAAAGUUACAUGAGCUGGGUUAAAUACGUCGUGAGACAGUAUGGUUUCUAUCUUCUAGGGGGAAUUAGAAUAUAAUAAGAACUAACUUUUGUACGAAAGGAACAAGAAGAAUUUAAUUUGUAAAAGGGUUAAAUAAUAGUUACUAACCUAUGGUUUACCUGUUGUCUAUGUGCCCAAAUAUUAAAAUAUAUAUGGAGGAAGCUCCUUAAGAGCUUCCCCCGCAAAUUAUAUAUAUCUGUAUAGCUAGCCUGCGGACUCCGGUUAUGCCUGAGUUUGGCAAGCUAAAGCUAUACAUAGGGAUGUUUCUUUCACUAAGAUAAAUAUAUAGCAUAGGCACGGCAGGAAAGCUAAGUUGGUUAAGGAUAAGUGCUGAAAGCAUAUAGGCACGAAGCUUAUCUUAAGAUAUUUCUUAAAUAUACGUAAAAUAUUAUUACGAAGGAUGUAAUAUAGGCUUUAUCCGUACGAAUCAGGAGAUUUUUAAGAAUAAAGUACUAAUUUUAUAAAUAACUAUUUAU